GACGUAGGGCGCGAGCGUUGUCCGGAUUUAUUGGGCGUAAAGAGCUCGUAGGCGGCUUGUCGCGUCGUCCGUGAAAACCUGGGGCUCAACUCCAGGCUUGGGGUCGAUACGGGCAGGCUCGAGUUCGGUAGGGGAGACUGGAAUUCCUGGUGUAGCGGUGAAAUGCGCAGAUAUCAGGAGGAACACCGGUGGCGAAGGCGGGUCUCUGGGCCGAUACUGACGCUGAGGAGCGAAAGCGUGGGGAGCGAACAGG
rnacentral:rRNA from 1 species